AGUCACAUCACGCUGAAACACCAGUUCCCGGACUAUCACCGAAGUUAAGCAACGUCGAGCAAGAUCAUUACCUAAAUGGGUGACCGCUUGGGAAUACCAGGUGCAGUAA